AAAAUUUUUUUAGUUCUUAGGUUACGCCACGCUUUCGGUCGCAAGACUAAAAGACUAUGGUGAUAAACUCUCUUCGCAAUAAACGUACAUGGACCUGGGGGCAGUACCCAGCACCUCCACCAAAUUCGGCGUCUUUUGAGCGCUAGCUUCACUAAAUGAAAAGAUUCUCGUCGGUUGCGUAUUGGAAUACGCGGCCCUCCUCGAACUUUUCAUUUAGCAAAGCUAUCACUCAAAAUACUUGAAUUUUCUACCCGAACAAAAGUGAUUUUUCUUCUGGGGGUGACACAGCUUUCGACAUGCGAUAAAGGAUUUGAUUUUACCCGGUUGAGAAACUGCCGGUUGUGAGGCGAAAGCCAAGCGACAUCCGUUCAAAAAAGUAAAUGCAAACGACAACUUUGCUAAUGAUAACUUCGAAUUUGCUCCAGUGGCUUUAGCUGCUUAGUAUAAGUGAUUUUAUCGGGGCCCGCCCGAGUGCCUGUCAACAGAAACUCGGGCACU
rnacentral:tmRNA from 1 species